rnacentral:rRNA from 1 species
GAUCCUGGCUCAGGACGAACGCUGGCGGCGUGCUUAACACAUGCAAGUCGAACGGAGCACCCUUGAAUGAGGUUUCGGCCAAAUGAUAGGAAUGCUUAGUGGCGGACUGGUGAGUAACGCGUGAGGAACCUGCCUUUCAGAGGGGGACGAACAGUUGGAAACGGCUGCUAAUACCGCAUGACGCAUUCGAUGGCAUCAUCUGAAUGCCAAAGAUUUAUUCGCUGAAAGA